CCUACGGGUGGCAGCAGUGGGGGAUAUUGCACAAUGGGGGGAACCCUGAUGCAGCGACGCCGCGUGGGUGAAGACGCGCCUCGGCGCGUAAAGCCCUGUCAGCAGGGAAGAAAAUGACGGUACCUGAAGCAGAAGCCCCGGCUAACUACGUGCCAGCAGCCGCGGUAAUACGUAGGGGCCAAGCGUUAUCCGGAUUUACUGGGUGUAAAGGGGGCGUAGACGGGGAUGCAAGCCAGGAGUGAAAGGCCGGGGCGCAACCCCGGGACUGCUCGUGGAACUGCUUGGCUGGAGUGCAGGAGGGGAAGGCGGAAUUCCUGGUGUAGCGGUGAAAUGCGUAGAUAUCAGGAGGAACACCGGUGGCGAAGGCGGCCUGCUGGACUGCAACUGACGUUGAGGCCCGAAAGCGUGGGGAGCAAACAGGAUUAGAUACCCGAGUAGUC
rnacentral:rRNA from 1 species